UUUACUGUGACGGUUAACUCGACAUUUAAACAAGAGAUCAUAUUUGACGGACGCAAUUCUUCUAGUUUUGACUGGUUCUCCGGAAGUAGGGUCAUAAACUCAUCUUGGUCAGAUGUCACAGAAUCACAAACCUAUCUCUUUUUUGAUAUUUUAGGAUUGCAGGAUUCCAUCGUAAAUAGAUUUUGGACCAUAAUGAAUUAUCAUCAGGGCUGUCCGGGUGACUUUGGCUGGUUUUCCGCGUCAUACAAUCCUCCAUAUGGAUGUUCCUAUGAUUUGACAUCUCUGUCCUACCCAGUGUUUAGAGCGUCUCCCAGUUCAACGGCUUGUGUAAUGGCAUCUAGCACGGUGGAAGCAGAAGCAUUUUCAGUUUCAAUUUUAGCGAAGAGUUUGAUCUGAAUGAAGACCAAAGG